GCUGUGCUGGCAGAGAGGGCAGCUCAGCUCAGAGAUGCCCAGGCCCAACUCUCCAGGAACAAACUGUUGAUUGAAGAGCUCCGUGGAGAGAACAGGAGGUUUGCAAUGGCCCUGCAGGCUGCUGAGCUGAAGCAGAAGAGCAUGGAGGAGAAGAACCAGCUGUUGGAGGAACAAGCCUCAGCUCUGAAGCAGCUUAUUGGAAAAAUCACACCAGCAUCUCUGAGUGGGUGAUGGAACAUCUGCAGUGGCAGCCCCUGCUCCUGGCUGGGGCUGAUCAGGUGCAGAAUGGGAUAUGGCUGGGUUGGGAAAUCAGCCUUGUCCUCUCUGGUCUUGCCAGGAUUUUCCUGUGCAGAAAAUAGCAGAUGGGGAGCUAGAGUCCUUUGAGGAAACUGGUCUUGUGGAUAGCUGAAUUUCCAGCUGAAAGCAGCAGCCUUGGUGCCUUUCCCAGUGGCAGUGUGCUGUUAUGUCAUGUCUGUCUCGGGACAGCCAGCUCACAGGAUUUUCUUUGGCAGUUAAGUGCUGGUGCAGGUGCUCCCUCUCUGCAGAAGGCUGAUGUUGGAGCCACAGUUACAUCUCAAAAGCCAGGGCAGAAAGGCUUGCAAGGACCCUGUGCUUGGUCACUCCAAGCAGGAAAGCUGAGUUGUGGCAUUAAAAAAUGUGUAAUGUUACAGCA